GGAUCAGACUCCUCCCACAUUUCACGCAGAACAUCCAGAGGACCUCUGACCUGAUGCCCAUAGAUGAGCUCAAAGGGGGAAAAUCCUGUUGAACUCUGGGGAACUUCACGGACCAACAAUAUCUACACCUAUUCUCUCAAAGGGAGUGGUAAUGACAGGAAUUGGAAUGAGGGGUGCAGGAGCUGUAUGUUUUUCUGCAGUGAGCUGACACUUUCGGCAUGUUUUACAGUAGUUUUGAACCUGGGUAUACAUUCCUGGCCAGUAAAACCUCUUACUUAUUCACAUGAAAGUCUUCAUGAAGCCCAAAUGACCAGCCCACGGAACAGUAUGACCUACCCUGAGCACCUCAGCCCUCGACACCUCAGGAAGAACAAGCUGUUUCCCAUACUCUGACUGCCUGUACAACAUACUAUUUUCUACCACAAAAAGCUCAGCAAGUGAACCAUGACUAGCCUCUGCAUUUUUGAAGCACUCUGCUAGCGUGGGGUCAUUUUUCUGCUGAAGAGCAAGGUUACAGGGGAAGGAAACAUGUGUCAACUGGGUCUGGAACUUGCUUAGAGGGCAUGUGGCUGUCUGUAUCAGUUAUUUGCUUCUCUACAGGACCUGCCUCUAAAGCUGAACUCCCUACAUCCACUGGUGCAGACUUGAGCCACUCAGGCAGUCGCAAAGGUGGAACAGGUCUAACUGACUGUAGCACUCUUCAACGUGACUCAACCUCUGGAUCCACUAACACCAGUAAAGCUCUCUUUGCACAAACUUGGCCUGGACAAGAGACUGAGGACAUCCUGUGUCUAGCAAUGCAGUUAGGAGUCUACCAUUUCCAGGACUGUAACAAUUAGUGAAUCAGAUGACUGUGAGAAAGGUGCAACCCUAGGCCUUGGAACAUAACACAGGUUUGUAGCUUUGGGCUUUUUAACUAGACAAAAGGGACGUGUAUGGCCUGCCUCACCACAGCUGUGACACACUACCUCUGCUUUGCGACCUGACCAAACCCUUUGGUUAGUCUGAUCUACAUGUGAAGGUUUUCUAUAGCUGGCCUGACCCUGUGUAUGGCUACUUGAACUACCCCCUUUCAAAAACCCCUCAGACUUACCCCCUUGGAGUCUGCGUUGUCCUGCGUAGCGGUAAGAUCCUGGUCCCUUGUGAGCAGACACAUAGGCAAGGACCAUACUGUGACUUUCUAAGCAAACGCCACAUAGAUCAUUCAUAGCUGUGAGAGAUUUUGAAAAUCACUAGUGAAGAAAAUCAAUAAAAAGAGACUGCAGCCAGUGAAGUGAUAAAGCAAAAAGUAUGAUUACUUUGGCUUUGAGUCAGUUUCAUUAGUUUAAGUGUGCAAAAUUAAACAUCUAGAAUAAAAAAUAUGUUGUGCUUAUAAUCUAUCUUAUAGUUUAAAAACCGGUGGCGUUGUUUCAAUCAUUUAAUGACAUUUUUUUCCCGCAUAUUUUACUAUUAGAGCUGCCCCAAGGACAUUUAUGGAAUAUUAGCUCAUUGCAGAUAUACAAAAUACAUUUACUGUUUAUAUACUGCAUAUGUACAGUUUGUAUCUGUGUGCGUAUCAGCUGAGAAAUGACAAAACAAACGUAUAUGUUUUGAAACCACCAGACUAUAAAAUGUCUUGUCCAGUGUAUUUCUUGGUUGCAAUGGUUAAAACUAAUUUAAAGGAACUUUAUCAAAAAAAUGUAUUUAUGGUAUGGGUUGCUUAAAGAAAUUUAUAUUAUUACCAUCUUACCAUCUGAUUUUUUUUCUCGAAUAUCACUAUGGGAAUCGGCCUAAAAAAAUAAUCAUGGAUUCACAUUUCUUUGUGAA